rnacentral:lncRNA from 1 species
GUAAUGAUGCCCUGGGAACCGUGAAGGAUAUGUCAAAAAGAUGCAUGGUCUCAGGUCUGUGUGGCCAGGGCUCUGGGCUGUGGCUGGGAGGUGUGGGUUUGGGGUGGGGCAGACAAGGAGCUGAGAAGGAGGGAGGAGUGCCAGGGGUGGGUACCCUGUGGCAGGUUUUUCUGCAUAGCUGGGCAUUGCUUCAGCAUGGCAGGUUUCACGUACUGCCAACCCCAAAUUCCUUUUCUUACUGCGUCUCUUAAUUUUUAUGACAGCUUUGCCUCUCCUUCUCUUCCCUGGCACUCAGGUGACCACAGGCUUCAUAAAGCCUAAAAAACUUCAGGCUGAGAGAAAAAGACCCCAGUCAAGAUGGGUGCGGCUCUUGUCAUCAGCACACAGGCAGUCCUAAUCUGAACAAGAAAAUGCGUCACCCAUCAAUCCAAGCCCUCCAAGAAUGUCAAGCUCCUCCUUGAAUCAUCUUGUCCUGACACCACCUGGCUCCCAGGGCCUCUGGGCAGCUGUGGCUGUGCAGCCCCUGCUUUUCACCUGUCUCCUGUCCUGGAGUGCUCGUUGCAUCUUCAGUGUGUUAGUUGCACCACUCCUUUAAGAGAGGCUCAUGCCUUACCUUAUCCCCUCAAUGACUGUCUUAUUUUUGUAUGCCCCUAAGAGCAGAGCAUGGGGCUAGAGUGGCAGUAGUGUUUCAAUAAACACUUGUUGACUUACAAU